GACGAACGCUGGCGGCGUGCCUAAUACAUGCAAGUCGAACGCACUCUCGUUUAGAUUGAAGGAGUUUGCUCCUGAUUGAUAAACAUUUGAGUGAGUGGCGGACGGGUGAGUAACACGUGGGUAACCUGCCCUAAAGUGGGGGAUAACAUUUGGAAACAGAUGCUAAUACCGCAUAAAACCUAACACCGCAUGGUGUAGGGUUGAAAGAUGGUUUCGGCUAUCACUUUAGGAUGGACCCGCGGUGCAUUAGUUAGUUGGUGAGGUAAAGGCUCACCAAGACCGUGAUGCAUAGCCGACCUGAGAGGGUAAUCGGCCACACUGGGACUGAGACACGGCCCAGACUCCUACGGGAGGCAGCAGUAGGGAAUCUUCCACAAAGGGCGAAAGUCUGAUGGAGCAACGCCGCGUGAGUGAAGAAGGUUUUCGGAUCGUAAAACUCUGUUGUUGGAGAAGAAUGUAUCUGAUAGUAACUGAUCAGGUAGUGACGGUAUCCAACCAGAAAGCCACGGCUAACUACGUG
rnacentral:rRNA from 1 species